rnacentral:rRNA from 1 species
UACGUAGGGCGCAAGCGUUAUCCGGAAUUAUUGGGCGUAAAGAGCUCGUAGGCGGUUUGUCGCGUCUGCCGUGAAAGUCCGGGGCUCAACUCCGGAUCUGCGGUGGGUACGGGCAGACUAGAGUGAUGUAGGGGAGACUGGAAUUCCUGGUGUAGCGGUGAAAUGCGUAGAUAUCUGGAGGAAUACCGGUGGCGAAGGCGGCAUCCUGGACCGACAUUGACGCUGAUGAGCGAAAGCUAGGGGAGCAAACGGG